UUGGUAAAAAUGUAAAGAUAUUAUUACCAGUUUUAAAAUUUUUGACAGAAUUACAAUGAUUAACAAGAAGCAAAAAAUAAAAAGAAAAUCCUAAACAGAAACAUAAACUCGAACUAGGCUAAAAAGGGGUAGACACUACAAACCAUAUCCACUAAUCAGAGGCUCGACUCAGUCAGCACCAAACGCUUACCGCAAAAGAAAAGAACCACAGUUAUAGCGAGAGACAGAACCCGGUAAUUUUGGCCCCUCCCCGAUGAUCCGCUCUUGAUGAUUUGGCUCAGACAAGAACAGCUCACGAUGGACCUCAGAAGCACCCACCCACACGAUCAGACAGCAACGGCAGAGGUCAAGCACACCCGCUUUGACCAGAUCGAGCAUUUAUUCGGCGCAAAAGCAACCAGCGCAACACACAAACACACAAACACGGGUAAAGAGACCUCCGAAGUCCCAAAUGGAGACAGAGAAGACCUCACCACAACCAAAACACAAACACACAAACACGGAUCCGAGAGAACAGCUGCUCAACUCCAGAAUAGAUCCAAUAACUGAAAGAAGAGUUAGUGAACUAACACUGCUGCGGAGACCAGGAGCAUCCAACAGCACUGGGAUGUGGUAGACCACCGCAAAGAGUCACCGUGGGAACAAAAUGGCGACCGGAGAUCACCCGAUACAACCACAACCAUUACCACGCCUUACGCCGCGUCUGAGAACCAGACAACAGUUUCUUCGAAAAAAAUAAUUCUAAGCUGAGCCGGUGACUAACGGAACAACCACCUCUAAGAACAGGAGCAGCCAUCAGUUGAAGCGAAGCCGGAUACAACUUCAAUCUUCAAAGGAGGAGCUGGAUAUGAGCCGGCAGAGAGAUACAUCGAGGGAGAGGGAAGUCGCAAGAGCUACUGCUCAGUGGCCAUAGACGACCACGUCAACCAUAGCUCCGCCACGAUCCACACGCUUACGCCAGAAGCACCACCACGCGGUGGUUAAACCGCUGACUGGACGCGUCUCCGAGGAGAGAGGGAACCUCCAGAGCACUCCUAACUUCAGAGAAGAGGGAUGACUCGCCAAGACACCAAGGAAGCCACAGAACCUAAACCCGGAAAGCUUUCCUACCCAGGACCAUAGCGAGAAUAGAACUACCUCUCACUAGAUCGGUGGACAAGGACCGAACACCCACCACCACGCGCCGCUGUCUCAGCCGGAGAGAGGUAAAAUGGAAAACCAGAUCUCACCGGACGAAACCCUAAAAAUCCGACUCCACUCGCCUAGGACCACCACCGCCUCACUGUAUCUCCAGAACGGAUGACUCCAUCCACGGAUCUAGUCCACCCCGGAGCCAAACUAGAGAAUCCCACGACGGAGCUUGUAUCAUGUAUACGUGCAUGUAUAGUGAAUCAAUGACGAUGAAAGAUGAUUUGGGAAAUGUUGUGAUUCAUGUGAUGAGAUUACAAGAAGAAAAAAGUGUGGCCCUAACACAUGAUUAAAGAAGCAUAGCAUGUGUGUAAAAAUAGAAAGUGUGGAAGGAAUAUCUGAAUCAUUUAUACAAGAUAUUCAUUCUGACAAAACGAGUUAUAUGGUCCCACUUGUUUCUUUGCGUUUACGUUUGCCAUUUUUAUGAUUAUAAUGUAACAUGGAACGCAAUUGCAAAUGUAAAUGCAAACGAAACGAUAAGGACUUUGGUAUUCUAUGUUUUCUAGUUCGUAUUUAUAAUUCAGAUA